UACGUAGGGUCCGAGCGUUGUCCGGAAUUACUGGGCGUAAAGAGCUCGUAGGUGGCUUGUCGCGUUGUUCGUGAAAACUCACAGCUCAACUGUGGGCGUGCGGGCGAUACGGGCAGACUGGAGUACUGCAGGGGAGACUGGAAUUCCUGGUGUAGCGGUGGAAUGCGCAGAUAUCAGGAGGAACACCGGUGGCGAAGGCGGGUCUCUGGGCAGGAACUGACGCUGAGGAGCGAAAGCGUGGGGAGCGAACAGG
rnacentral:rRNA from 1 species